CUUCAAGAUGGAACACCAUAGGGACGCUGCCCGGGAAGAAACAGCACAGGGUUGCUCUCAGUGUUCAGGCCUGAAUUUCUAGUUAAGGGUCUUGUACUAUUCCAAAAACAUGCUGUGCAGCUGAAAACAACUGUAAACUCCUGACCCUUCUGCCUCUACCUUGUGAAUGUUGGGAUGACAGGUUCACAACGCCACACUUGGCUCAGCUAACUUCUGUUCAGUACUAGGGAUGGAACCCAUGACUUCACAGUGCCAGCAAACACUCUACCACUGAGCUGUCCCUCCCGCUCCUACUGCUUUACUCUGGCCAUCACUCCAUUGCCUAAACAAGCAAGGGAAAGGCCUGAGAAGGAGCAGAUUGUCCUCCCACCAUGCUGGGAGCUGAGCACCAGGACUGUUUCCUCCAGAGCGGGUGAGGGGACCACACACCGCAGAGGAGGAUGCAGUGGCAGCAGCCUAGACUCCUGCUCAGAGUUGCCAGAAGCUUGGUGCACCCAUCUAUUCUGCAGACAAGAAAGUCACACCUGAGCAAACUAGCAAAAACCUUGGAAUGUGAGCAUGUUGCAAGAUGGUCACAGCAAAAGGUGCCUCAGCAAGAAAACAGAUGUCCAACAGGCACAUUUAAAAAUAGCACAGUGACCCAGGAGGAUCAACAGGGAACAGCAUUCUACUUCUCCAGCCCUGGGACAAGCUACUAUUCAGUAUAACUUUCUCUUCAUAUCACAGAAUACUUUUUUCUUUUAUCUAUCUACCUGUCUAUUUAUUUUUGAGACUGGAUC